GUUGAAUAUCAAAAUUUUCCACUUGUAAUUUUUUUUUUAAUGUGCUAGAGAAAGUAUAAUGGAUUUUAUUGUUCUUUAUCUUUUAAAUUUAACGCUAAUUAAUUGUAAAGCUUAAGAUAAAAUUGUACUGAUCACGUUGUUAAAACGGACACUAUGGACAAUUGUGCUGGAUUGGCCCGUGUCGAGAUAGGUGCCACAGAGGCUUAGAAAACCGCAGUGGUUCUGUACAACCCCGUGUAACCACAAAGCCUGGCCCUCAGGGCCGGAAUCAGGAUGGCAGCAGCGGUGAGAUCGUGCAGGAAGUUUGAGCAUUCCACGAGUAGCAGGUACAACUUGUCACCAUUCGAGACGGACUUGUGAAGGGUUAUUCUCCUAAGCCCCACCGACUUAGUUAUUUUCACCUGUCCAAUAAAGCCAGUUCUUUUCGAAAUUCUCGCCAUCAUCGCCCUCGAAGACUUUGUAAACGGAGACUAUGAAUCCUGUCGCGUUUGACCUAGGCCGUUUGGAUGUAGGGUCGAGUGGUGGCCUGGCGAUCGUCGCCACCUCGUUGAACAAGUCGAAGGUGUGGGCCGCCGAAUAUCUCAGGCACUUGGGGUCGAAUUUCCUCAAAGAGGCCGCCCUACAGUUGUGAAAGAAUUCGCCGGGAUCCGUUUGAGCCUUGUUUAUCACAUAGUACGAUAUGAAAGGGAAUUCAGCUGGAAGGAAAACGAAAUAAAGUCAGACAACGUGUAUAAUUAUACAAAAAGUGAAAAAUUCACCGUUUUUCUCUAAAUUAGCGAGAAGCAUGCCUUCCAUGGCGGUUCUGGACGCUCCGACUUCUGUCAGAAGAUCACAGGCUGUGCUUUUUUGCUUGA